GACGAACGCUGGCGGCGUGCUUAACACAUGCAAGUCGAACGGAAAGGCCCUGCUUUUGUGGGGUGCCCGAGUGGCGAACGGGUGAGUAACACGUGAGUAACCUGCCCUUGACUUUGGGAUAACUUCAGGAAACUGGGGCUAAUACCGGAUAGGAGCUCCUGCUGCAUGGUGGGGGUUGGAAAGUUUCGGCGGUUGGGGAUGGACUCGCGGCUUAUCAGCUUGUUGGUGGGGUAGUGGCUUACCAAGGCUUUGACGGGUAGCCGGCCUGAGAGGGUGACCGGCCACAUUGGGACUGAGAUACGGCCCAGACUCCUACGGGAGGCAGCAGUGGGGAAUAUUGCACAAUGGGCGGAAGCCUGAUGCAGCAACGCCGCGUGCGGGAUGACGGCCUUCGGGUUGUAAACCGCUUUCGCCUGCGACGAAGCGUGAGUGACGGUAAUGGGUAAAGAAGCACCGGCUAACUACGUG
rnacentral:rRNA from 1 species